GUGUGAGGAUUUCUGGACUACAGGAUUGGCAGACAAGACAUGGGAACUGUCUGCAUCAGGCAUCUGCGGUGGAAUGAGAUCCAUCAUGUAUCAGCUUGUAGCUGUUUGGAGAAAGCUGGACUGGUGUUGAAAGUAUUGGCAGCGCUGAUCCAUAAUAAAUGCACCCAGCAGACUGUGGCGCCACUUCUGUAUUAUGUCAUGUGGCGUAAUGGAAGAAGAGAACAGUCAUAAAGAAUAUUGAUCUUUCACAGCCAACAAAACCAAUCAAACAAGACAGCUCAGUGUUUCUGUGGUUUGUCUAGCUUCUAGAAUAGCUUUGGCUCUCAGGAAUCCUGACUCUGAGCCCUCUGACACCUCUGACAUGUCUCAGCAUAAGCUUCGUGCAAGUGAUCCAAACUUGUCAAAAAAGAAUUACAAUCCUGUUGAUGAAAGACAAGCAAUGCAUACCAAUAAAGGCUUGCUGUUAUUCUCUUCAUCUGACAUUCAUGCAUACCAUGAGCAUCAACUCUGUAAGCUAAUAUACUUAGUUUUUACACUUGUUUCAAAAUAAAGACUCUAGAAUCAAAAAUGCCUUUUGUAAACCAAUUUCCCAUCUAGACCAAUGACAAUAUGCCCCCUAGUGGUAAAGUAGCAAACAAUUUUAAAUGAAUGAAUUCAUCAGUGCUCAGUUUUGGACCACAGCCUAUAUUUUUUAAUGUUGCUUGAAUUAACGGCA